GAACGCACCUUGCACCCUUUGGUAUUCCGAAGGGUACACCCGUUUGAGUGUCAUUGUAAUCUCACUCCCUAAACUUCUUGUAGGGGAUGUGGAAUUGGAUGCUGUCGUUUUGUGACUCAUCUGGAAUGCUUCAGUGUACCCCGCUUGUCGGCGUAACAGUGUGAUAAGUAUCUUCACUGGUAGUCUCUUCGGAGGCGCGCUCUCAGAUGGGCUUCUAUGCUUACAACCGUCUUUGGACAACAACUGACAAUUUGACCUCAAAUCGGGUGGGACUACCCGCUGAACUUAAG
rnacentral:misc_RNA from 1 species